GCCUGGGUGGCUCAGUCGGUUAAGCGUCCGACUUCAACUCGGGUCACGAUCUCGCGGUCCGUGAGUUCGAGCCCCGUGUCGGGCU
rfam:Felis catus breed Abyssinian Contig72080.1, whole genome shotgun sequence. [26-MAY-2016]